rnacentral:lncRNA from 1 species
GCCUUUGGAUCCCGCUCGCACUUCUUCCCGUCAUCAGCCAAAGGCCCCGGAAGUGACGUUUGCGCGCCGUGCGUUACGCGCGUGCGCUGGCUGCCGGGGGGUGGGGCAAGCAGGGGGUUGCGUGUGAGGCUGGAGCGGACCGCGGAGCCCAGACCUGCUGAGCGACGCGGGCAAGCGGUGGUCUGGACCGCGGCGCAGACGCGGGCGAGCUGCGGCUUGGACGCCGGCGGACACGCGGGCGAGUGCGCGGCCUCUCCGUCCAACGUGCUCGUUGCCGGCAUCUCCAGCGCCCGGCCGUGCCCCGACGGCCUGACCUGGAUCACUUCCUGGCCGCCUCCCUCUCCGGCGGCUCCCCUCGGUCCGGCUCCCACUUCCCUGUCCAGGACGCUGGCUCCGAAGCAACAUCUGUGGUCGCGCGGGACCCCUCCCAGGACCUCCCCGGAACGCGCCGGGAUGGGACGCUCGGACCCAGACCACAGACCCCGGCCGCGGCAGGGGCGCCGGGACUUGAUCCCGCGUCGCCCUGGGGGGACAGAAGUGUCCCGGAGUUGGGAGGGGAUUUGAAGCCUGUGGUCCUGACUUCCACCCCGUGGCUGAGGGCGAGGCUGCGGGGCUGGGGUUAGGAGCAGAAGUCCCUACUUCCGAACCGUCUGGGAGGAGAGCCGAGGGAUGCCCAUCACGGCAGUUUAGGGAGAGAGAGGGAGGGACUCUGCCGCUUUGGAGGCUAGGUCAUAGGCCGCUGGCGGUGUCUCAGCGCGGGUGACAAAUCCUUGCCGUUGAAAAAUGUGUCGUGGGCGCCCGUGGGCUCGUUUUGCCUUUGAGAUUAAAUAGGAAAUUUUCCCAGGACGAGUUUACCGGAGCACCUUGGGAGUUGGUUUUUGGCUUGGAGAGCUACUUUCCCCUCUCUAAAUCUAAAACUGCUUUGUUUUUCCUUAUUAUUUUUUUCGAGAUGGGAUCUCACAAUGUUGCCCAGGCUGGUGUCAAAACUCCUGGCCUUAAGCGAUCCUCCCGCCUGGGCCUCUCGGAGUGCUGGGAUUAGAGACGUGAGCCAUUGCGCAGCUUUAACUGCUGUUAAAGAGUCUGUUCCUUAAAAUUGUUGUACCAGGAAACUUGCCAGAGAUGCAAGAAAAUGUGAUUAUAUUGUUAACAUUUAAUGGUAAAUAACAUUUUGCCUUUAAGAGUUACUGAUUCAUAUCCGCAAGAUUAAGAAAUGUUCAGGAUAUGAAUUUUUAAUGGCCUUUCCAAUCAGUCAUGUUUCUCCUCUUUAGAAGUUAGCCAGUUGAGGAGAAGGGACAGUCAAGAUACUUUCAAUACAGUGUGGUAAGGAGUGUGAGCUAAGAUGGAGCACCGAGGAAGGAGCCGGGCAUUUAGGCCAUGCUGUUGGGUGUGGAGCCUGGAAGGGAUCAGAGAAUACUUUCUGCAUGUGUCUUGAAGAAUGAGUAGCAUUCAGACUAACAGGGUGGAGUGAGGGAGAGGGGAAACCAAAGGAGAGGAGGCCAGUAACUACAAGGAGGUGCUUAUUUAUUUAUUUAUUUAUUUUUUAGAGAGAGGGUCCCACUUUGUCACCCAGGCUGGAGUACAGUGACACGAUCACGAGUCACUGAAGUCUCAACUGCCUGGGCUCAAGUGAACCUCCCACCUCAACCUCCCGAGUAGCUGAGACUGCAAAUGGGUGCCGCCACACCCAGCUGAUUUUUAAAGAUUUUGUAAAGGUGUUGUCUUGCUGUGUUGCCCCGGCUGGUCUUGAAUUCCUGGACUCAAGCAAUUCUCCCGCCUCAAGUGUCCCAAAGUGCUGAAAUUACAGGCAUCGGCUCCCGAGCCUGGAGGGUGGUUAUUAAAGAGAAAAAGUACAGGACAGAGAUGUAGGAGCUUAGGCUUUAAUCUGAUGGUGACAGAACCAGGGAAGGGUUUUUAGCU